CAACCUCAACUCAUAUGGGACUACCCCCUGAAUUUAAGCAUAUUAAUUAGGGGAGGAAAAGAAACUAACAAGGAUUUUCUUAGUAGCGGCGAGCGAAAAGAAAUCAGUUCAGCACUAAGUCACUUUGUCUAUAUGGCAAAUGUGAGAUGCAGUGUACGGAACAUCAACAUUCUAGUAUGAGAAGUUAACGAUUUAAGUCCUUCUUAAAUGAGGCCAUUUACCCAUAGAGGGUGCCAGGCCCGUAUAACGUUAAUGAUUACUAGAUGGUGUUUCCAAAGAGUCGUGUUGCUUGAUAGUGCAGCACUAAGUGGGUGGUAAACUCCAUCUAAAACUAAAUAUAACCAUGAGACCGAUAGUAAACAAGUACCGUGAGGGAAAGUUGAAAAGAACUCCGAAUAGAGAGUUAAAUAGUACGUGAAACUGCUUAGAGGUUAAGCCCGAUGAACCUGAAUAUCCGUUAUGGAAAAUUCAUCAUUAGAAUUGUAAUAUUUUAAACAAUAUUAUAAUAAUAGUGUGCAUUUUUUCCAUAUAAGGACAUUGUAAUCUAUUAGCAUAAAUAUUUAUCAUAAAAUUAUGUCUGAUUGCUUAUUUGAAUUAUAUGCUUGGCAUUUUAACAUAAAAUAAAAGAUAUAAAUUUGAUAAAGUGCUGAUAGAUUUAUAUGAUUACAGUGCGUUAAUUUUUCGGAAUUAUAUAAUGGCAUAAUUAUCAUUGAUAUUUGUGUUUAUUAUAUGCAUUUGUAUGAUUAACAAUGCGAAAGAUUCAGGAUACCUUCGGGA
rnacentral:ncRNA from 1 species